AGAGUUUGAUCAUGGCUCAGAGCGAACGCUGGCGGCGUGCUUAACACAUGCAAGUCGAGUGCGCGUCCGUAGCAAUACGGAUGGCGCACGGCGCACGGGUGCGUAACACGUGGGCAAUCUGCCCUCGGAUGGGGGAUAACCCCGCGAAAGCGGGGCUAAUACCGCAUGACAUUCCGGAGACCCUGGUCUCUGGAUUCAAAGGCCGCAAGGCCGUCUGAGGAGGAGCCCGCGCCCGAUUAGCUAGUUGGUGAGGUAACGGCUCACCAAGGCAAUGAUCGGUAGCCGGUCUGAGAGGAUGGCCGGCCACACUGGAACUGAGACACGGUCCAGACUCCUACGGGAGGCAGCAGUGGGGAAUAUUGCGCAAUGGGCGAAAGCCUGACGCAGCGACGCCGCGUGGGGGAUGAAGCUUUUCGGAGUGUAAACCCCUUUCGACCCGGACGAAUGACCCGCAAGGGUUUGACGGUACGGGUAUAAGAAGCCCCGGCUAACUACGUGCCAGCAGCCGCGGUAAUACGUAGGGGGCCAGCGUUGCUCGGAAUUACUGGGCGUAAAGGGUUCGUAGGCGGUGCGGUAAGUUGGGAGUGAAAUCUCUGGGCUUAACCCAGAGGCUGCUUUCAAAACUGCCGUGCUCGAGUGCGAGAGAGGUCAGUGGAAUUGCAGGUGUAGCGGUGAAAUGCGUAGAUAUCUGCAGGAACACCCGUGGCGAAGGCGGCUGACUGGAUCGCAACUGACGCUGAGGAACGAAAGCUAGGGGAGCAAACAGGAUUAGAUACCCUGGUAGUCCUAGCCCUAAACCAUCAGAACUUGGGGUGGCCCGCGUAGGCGGGUCGUCCCGUAGCUAACGCGUUAAGUUCUGCGCCUGGGGAGUACGGUCGCAAGACUGAAACUCAAAGGAAUUGACGGGGGCCCCGCACAAGCGGUGGAACAUGUGGUUC
rnacentral:rRNA from 1 species